ACCUCCUCUAUGCAGCGCAGCCCGGGCCAGAGAGUGAGGCUAUGCCUAUGGCUGCCUACCUCGUGGUACACAAAUGAGUUGUCGCGCAUGUCAUGAUAGAGCACAUGUCAUUUGCACAAGACAAAGAGAGAGCAACCAGCCUGAGACGACUGUCCUUUUGGAUAACUACUCAACGCUGCACAGCACAGCAUUCAAUCACUCUCAUAAUUUUAUUGUCAUUUCAUCUUUUAUGGGGGACGCCCCACUCUUAUUAUUUUUAUCACUGAAUGGCUGCUGACGUACGUAUAUAUAAGAGCACUACAAGAUACGACAGGAAAGGAAUGCUGGCUUUCUGAUCGAGGAGGAGAUGAUCUAUUAUUGGCUAUUGGCUCCGGGGAUGGAGUGGAUCUACCUCUGAGAGACAAAGGGCCAGUUACUGUAUCAUGUAUGAAUAUUCUGUUGCUUGUACAUAUUUUCGUAACAUUAUCAGUAAUUGACUCUAGAGUAGCAUAUUGUGCUCCCCUUUCUUCAUCACUCAAUCUGCAGGCAGUGUAUGUGAUUUUCUGACAGGGAAGGCUACUCGGGAGUCGGCCACACAAGGUAUAGUCUAAUAAUUAUUGUACAGUACUUCGAUGAUCUUCUCUGUUUUGGGUCAGAUGCAAUUGCCUAUAGCCAGUUAAAACAUCUCUUCUACUCUUGGCUUAAGAAAUUGUAUUUUAUUAUUGUACCAGCAUUAGGUAGUUAACUCCACUUAUGCAUUGACCUCUACUACCGUGUAGCGGGAAAGUUCGUUAUUUGAGAAAUGUUGUAUAGUUGUUCACAUUUCAAUGCCAAGAAACCAUAGCUUUGCAUGGUGUGUCUUCCAUUUAUUAUUACAUGAAGUGUGAAGUGUGUUGUAAGUUUGUACAGAGAGGACUCCCAUGGUGGCAAUGAUCUGAUGAUGGCUCCACUGCUCUGAUGGACCAAUGCAGGAGAAGUUAUUCUGUAUAAUUAUUACACUAAAUUAAUGUAUGCCACUGUUUGGAUCGGUUUCUGUUCUGCUCAGCUUCUUCCUCCAACUUGCUUACGCAGGCUAAGCUUAUUCUUAGUUCAUUCUUAGUUCAUUCUAUAGUCUAGUAUUAUUGUCGGUUUGGUUGUUUUAUGUUUUUCACCUGGUCAUACGGAAUCACUUCAUUAAUUUGUGCAGACCACACCUCUAUCCACACAUUGUACCUGCACAUCCUGUAUAUAUGGGGCCAGUACACCCCCACUCACUGUACUGAUAUGUGGUCACACCCCCAUACAUGGUAACCCUCUUGACCACACCUCCACUGAUGCAUUGUGUCGUACAUGCUGUGUUUUUGUGUACAGUACACACAUCAUCCGUGUCUUUAUCCCCACACCUAGUCGGAGGGAGCAGCAAGUUCUACUAAGAGCCAGCAUCACCAACUAACCAACACACUACAAGACCUACCUACUACCAGCUAGGACAGCACACCACCCGGGACUUAAUACGCCUUUGUAUUACGAUCAUGAUACAAUUUGCUGCCCUCCCUCGCCCAUGGAUUGAAUGAUUAUGGACACUCACAGGACAACUAAGAGACUGACACACAAUAAUAGACACCAAAGGCAGUGUAUAUGAUUUUCUGACAGGAAAGGCUACUCUAAACAGAGGGAGUCGGCCACACAAGUUUGUAUAGAGAGGACUCCCAUGGUGGCAAUGAUCUGAUGAUGGCCCCACUGCUCUGAUGGACCAAUGCAGGAGAAGUUAUUCUGUAUAAUUAUUACACUAAAUUAAUGUAUGCCACUGUUAAUUUGGAUCGGUUUCUGUUCUGCUCAGCUUCUUCCUCCAACUUGCUUACGCAGGCUAAGCUUAUUCUUAAUUAGUUCAUUCUUAGUUCAUUCUAUAGUCUAGUAUAAUUAUUGUCGGUUUGGUUGUUUUAUGUUUUUCACCUGGUCAUACGGAAUCACUUCAUUAAUUUUUAUACAGUGCAGACCACACCUCUAUCCACACAUUGUACCUGCACAUCCUGUAUAUAUGGGGCCACACCCCCACUCACUGUACUGAUAUGUGGUCACACCCCCAUACAUGGUAACCCUCUUGACCACACCUCCACCCAUGCAUUGUGUCGUACAUGCUGUGUUUUUAUGUACAGUACAGUACACACAUCAUCCGUGUCUUUAUCCCCACACCUAGUCGGAGGGAGCAGCAAGUUCUACUAAGAGCCAGCAUCACCAACUAACCAACACACUACAAGACCUACCUACUACCAGCUAGGACAGCACACCACCCGGGACAGACUCUACUAUACCAUGUAAUAUGCCUUUGUAUUACGAUCAUGAUACAAUUUGCUGCCCUCCCUCGCCCAUGGAUUGAAUAAUUAUGGACACUCGCAGGACAACUAAGAGACUGACACACAAUAAUAGACUGUUGCUUGUACAUUUCGUAACAUUAUCAGUAAUUGACUGUAGAGGAGCAUCUUAAUUUAGCUCCCCUUUCUUCAUCACUCAAUCUGCAGGCAGUGUAUGUAAUUUUCUGACAGGAAAGGCUACUCUAAACAGAGGGAGUCGGCCACACAAGUCGGAGGGAGCAGCAAGUUCUACUAAGAGCCAGCAUCACCCACUAACCAACACUCUACAAGACCUACCUACUACCAGCUAGGACAGCACACCACCCGGGACAGACUCUACUAUACCCAUGUAAUACGCCUUUGUAUUACGAUCAUGAUACAAUUUGCUGCCCUCCCUCGCCAAUGGAUUGAAUAAUUAUGGACACUUGCAGGACAACUAAGAGACUGACACACAAUAAUAGACACCAAAGGCAGUGUAUGUGAUUUUCUGACAGGAAAGGCUACUCUAAACAAAGGGAGUCGGCCACACAAGUCGGAGGGAGCAGCAAGUUCUACUAAGAGCCAGCAUCACCAACUAACCAACACUACAAGACCUACCUACUACCAGCUAGGACAGCACACCACCCGGGACAGACUCUACUAUACCAUGUAAUACGCCUUUUUAUUACGAUCAUGAUACAAUUUGCUGCCCUCCCUUGCCCAUGGAUUGAAUAAUUAUGGACACUCGCAGGACAACUAAGAGACUGACACACAAUAAUAGACACCUAACUGCUAUUUUGCCAUUAAUAUAAUAAAAAUAAUUUUGCCAUUAA